rnacentral:rRNA from 1 species
GGCCUAACACAUGCAAGUCGAGCGGUAGCACAGGGAGCUUGCUCCUGGGUGACGAGCGGCGGACGGGGGAGUAAUGUCUGGGAAACUGCCUGAUGGAGGGGGAUAACUACUGGAAACGGGAGCUAAUACCGCAUAAUGUCUACGGACCAAAGUGGGGGACCUUCGGGCCUCAUGCCAUCAGAUGUGCCCAGAUGGGAUUAGCUAGUAGGUGGGGUAAUGGCUCACCUAGGCGACGAUCCCUAGCUGGGCUGAGAGGAUGACCAGCCACACUGGAACUGAGACACGGUCCAGACUCCUACGGGAGGCAGCAGUGGGGAAUAUUGCACAAUGGGCGCAAGCCUGAUGCAGCCCUGCCGCGUGUGUGAAGAAGGCCUUCGGGUUGUAAAGCACUUUCAGCGAGAAGAAAGGGGUCAGUGUUAAUAGCACUGUUCAUUGACGUUACUCGCGGAAGAAGCACCGGGUAACUCCGUGCCACCAGCCGCGGAAAUACGGAGGGUGCAAGCGUUAAUCGGAAUUACUGGGCGUAAAGCGCACGCGGGCGGUUUGUUAAGACAGAUGUGAAAUCCCCGCGCUUAACGUGGGGAACUUGUAUUUGAAACUGGAAGCUAGAGACUUGUAGAGGGGGGUAGAAUUCCAGGUGUAGCGGUGAAAUGCGUAGAGAUCUUGUAGGAAUACCGGUGGCGAAGGCGGCCCCCUGGACAAAGACUGUCGCUCAGGUGCGAAAGCGUGGGGAGCAAACAGGAUUAGAUACCC